rnacentral:sRNA from 1 species
AUUCUGGGAAUCGUAAAGCAGUUUGAUGAGACACCCCCAGAGUUUCCACUAUGAGUAUAUGGGUAUAUUUUGCUCUGAGGAGGGAGAGGUAAUGUGUUAAUAGGGUUUAAUGUGAAAUUAAUCAGUUUAAAACAGUGCUUGGGCUCCCAGCCCUCCACUCACUUCCCUGUUCUCUGCAUGGGUGAUAUUGAGAGGUUGGGAGGCAUAGGAAGGGGGAAGACCCUAGGGAGUAUAUGUGAGCAUUGACUAUAUGCAGAGGGUUUUAGUGGUGCUCGUUAGAAAUGUUUGGAGGUGGAUAAAAGAUACUUUUAAAAGAGUAUCCUCCCAAUAUUGUCUACUUUUUUUCUGGAUGGAAGAUGUUUUUGUGCCAGAAAUCAGAUUGAUGCCCAAAGUGAGAUUUCCAGUUUACUCCACAGGUCCCCUAAUUUUAAGGGAUCACUCUUGUUCUUUUUCUAAUCAAUUAGUAGUGCUAUUCCUGAUCACUGGGAAGUGCUGUUGUGUUAGGGGUGACUUGCAAAUGCUACAUUAUGGUUCGCUUCAUAUUUAAGAAUGGACUGUGGCCACCAAAAAUGGGUUCUAGAUACUAUUAAAUGACAUAAUUUUUGGUUAAAUGAAUGCAAUGUGUUAGAUUACCUUUUGUUUAUAUUUCUUGGUUGUUUUUGGCAGAAUAUAUAGUUUGAUAUAUAGAAUGUAUGAAUGUAUGUUAGUGAACUUUGGAAGAAGGGCACUCAGGCAAGUACUUUAAGUCAUCACAUAGUUCAGUGUCCACAAUUUCCAGCACUUCACUGGAAAGAGUUGUGUGUUCGUGGCAUGAAGAGACUGUUUGGUGAUAUCCCUGUCCUUAACUAGCUGAGUCCUGGAUGCACUAAUCGUGAGCAUGGAUGUGAUUCAACAUGAAACAAUAGGAAAGAAGUUUGAGAAGAGGCAUAUUGAAAUAUUCACUGACCUCAGCAGCCGAUUCAGCAAAAGUCAGCUGGAUAUUAUAAUUCAUAGCUUGAAGAAAUGUGAUAUCUCCCUGCAAUUCUUUUUGCCUUUCUCACUUGGCAAGGAAGAUGGAAGUGGGGACAGAGGAGAUGGUACCUUUCGCUUAGGUGGCCAUGGGCCUUCCUUUCCACUAAAAGGAAUUACCGAACAGCAGAAAGAAGGUCUUGAGAUAGUGAAAAUGGUGAUGAUAUCUUUAGAAGGUGAAGAUGGGUUGGAUGAAAUUUAUUCAUUCAGUGAGAGUCUGAGAAAACUGUGCGUCUUCAAGAAAAUUGAGAGGCAUUCCAUUCACUGGCCCUGCCGACUGACCAUUGGCUCCAAUUUGUCUAUAAGGAUUGCAGCCUAUAAAUCGAUUCUACAGGAGAGAGUUAAAAAGACUUGGACAGUUGUGGAUGCAAAAACCCUAAAAAAAGAAGAUAUACAAAAAGAAACAGUUUAUUGCUUAAAUGAUGAUGAUGAAACUGAAGUUUUAAAAGAGGAUAUUAUUCAAGGGUUCCGCUAUGGAAGUGAUAUAGUUCCUUUCUCUAAAGUGGAUGAGGAACAAAUGAAAUAUAAAUCGGAGGGGAAGUGCUUCUCUGUUUUGGGAUUUUGUAAAUCUUCUCAGGUUCAGAGAAGAUUCUUCAUGGGAAAUCAAGUUCUAAAGGUCUUCGCAGCAAGAGAUGAUGAGGCAGCAGCAGUUGCACUUUCCUCCCUGAUUCAUGCUUUGGAUGACUUAGACAUGGUGGCCAUAGUUCGAUAUGCUUAUGACAAAAGAGCUAAUCCUCAAGUCGGCGUGGCUUUUCCUCAUAUCAAGCAUAACUAUGAGUGUUUAGUGUAUGUGCAGCUGCCUUUCAUGGAAGACUUGCGGCAAUACAUGUUUUCAUCUUUGAAAAACAGUAAGAAAUAUGCUCCCACCGAGGCACAGUUGAAUGCUGUUGAUGCUUUGAUUGACUCCAUGAGCUUGGCAAAGAAAGAUGAGAAGACAGACACCCUUGAAGACUUGUUUCCAACCACUAAAAUCCCAAAUCCUCGAUUUCAGAGAUUAUUUCAGUGUCUGCUGCACAGAGCUUUACAUCCCCGGGAGCCUCUACCCCCAAUUCAGCAGCAUAUUUGGAAUAUGCUGAAUCCUCCCGCUGAGGUGACAACGAAAAGUCAGAUUCCUCUCUCUAAAAUAAAGACCCUUUUUCCUCUGAUUGAAGCCAAGAAAAAGGAUCAAGUAACUGCUCAGGACAUUUUCCAAGACAACCAUGAAGAUGGACCUACCGCUAAAAAAUUAAAGACUGAGCAAGGGGGAGCCCACUUCAGCGUCUCCAGUCUGGCUGAAGGCAGUGUCACCUCUGUUGGAAGUGUGAAUCCUGCUGAAAACUUCCGUGUUCUAGUGAAACAGAAGAAGGCCAGCUUUGAGGAAGCGAGUAACCAGCUCAUAAAUCACAUCGAACAGUUUUUGGAUACUAAUGAAACACCAUAUUUUAUGAAGAGCAUGGACUGCAUCCGAGCCUUCCGGGAAGAAGCCAUUAAGUUUUCAGAAGAGCAGCGCUUUAACAACUUCCUGAAAGCCCUUCGAGAGAAAGUGGAAGUUAAACAAUUAAAUCAUUUCUGGGAAAUUGUUGUUCAGGAUGGAAUUACUCUGAUCACCAAAGAGGAAGCCUCUGGAAGUUCUGUCACAGCUGAGGAAGCCAAAAAGUUUCUGGCCCCCAAAGACAAACCAAGUGGAGACACUGCAGCUGUAUUUGAAGAAGGUGGUGAUGUGGACGAUUUAUUGGACAUGAUAUAGGUCGUGGAUGUAUGGGGAAUCUAAGAGAGCUGCCAUCGCUAUGAUGCUGGGAGUUCUAACAAAACAAGUUGGAUGCGGCCAUUCAAGGGGAGCCAAAAGCUCAAGAAACUCCCAGCAGGUUACCUGGAGGCGGAUCAUCUAAUUCUCUGCAGAAUGAAUACACACAUAUAUAUUACAAGGGAUAAUUUAGACCCCAUACAAGUUUAUAAAGAGUCAUUGUU